GCGAGUGUAGCACAGUGGCAGUGCGCCUGCCUUCCAAGCAGGAUACGAGGGUUCGAUCCCCUUCACUCGCU
rnacentral:tRNA from 1 species